CCGCGCUUCCGCCUCAGCCCGCGCCAGCCGGCCGCCACCUACGCCUCCACCUUCGCUGGCGCCUCCCCCCGCCUCACGGCCGCCAACGCCACCGACGCCUCCCUCACCUCCGCCACUGACCGCGCUAGCCGCCGGAUCCGGCCUCCACGAGGCCGGGGAUGCGCUGAUCUGAACGCCAGGUACCGCCUCCUUCAUCCCCACCCACCGGCCACCUCGCAACAGAGGAGUGCCUCUUUGAGAUCCUCCGCCGUCUCCCCGGCCGCUGCGAGCGCGGCGCCUCCACCUGCGUCUCCCGUCGCUGGUCCAUCAUGGAGGACGACGAACUGUCGGCCAGUGUGCCCCUUUUGUGAAUGA
rnacentral:lncRNA from 2 species